UACGUAGGGGGCAAGCGUUGUCCGGAAUCAUUGGGCGUAAAGAGCGCGUAGGCGGCCCUGUAAGUCCGCUGUGAAAGUCAAGGGCUCAACCCUUGGAUGCCGGUGGAUACUGCAGGGCUAGAGUCCGGAAGAGGCGAGUGGAAUUCCUGGUGUAGCGGUGAAAUGCGUAGAUAUCAGGAGGAAUACCGGUGGCGAAAGCGACUCUCUGGACGGCAACUGACGCUGAGGCACGAAAGCGUGGGGAGCAAACAGG
rnacentral:rRNA from 1 species